rnacentral:rRNA from 1 species
AUUGAACGCUGGCGGCAGGCCUAACACAUGCAAGUCGAGCGGAGCGGCGGACGGGUGAGUAAUGCCUAGGAAUCUGCCUGGUAGUGGGGGAUAACGUCCGGAAACGGGCGCUGAUACCGCAUACUAUCAGAUGAGCCUAGGUCGGAUUAGCUAGUUGGAGGGGUAACGGCCCACCAAGGCGAUGAUCAGUAGCCGGUCUGAGAGGAUGAACGGCCACAGUGGGACGGAGACACGGCCCAGACUCCUACGGGAGGCAGCAGUGGGGAAUCUUCCGCAAUGGGGGCAACCCUGACGCAGCCAUGCCGCGUGAAUGAAGAAGGCCUUCGGGUUGUAAAGUUCUUUCGGUGACGAGGCGUUAAUCACAGAAGAAGCACCGGCUAACUCCGUGCCAGCCGCCGCGGUAAUUC